rnacentral:rRNA from 1 species
AUGUCUUAUAGUAUUUUACAUCAUUUGUGCAAUUGCAGUUUGGCUUCUAACAUUUACUUUCUUCUUGUAGGUACAAAUGUCAGGGGCACUGAUCCACGCUUCAACCCGAAGGAAGAGCUUGGCUCCGCCGCUGCUGACUUUGGGCGGGCUCUGGCCAAGAUGAAGUGCCCCAGCAACUACCUCUCAGGACUUACCAAGCAUGAACUCACCAGUUCAGUCUUACCAAUACCACUUGCAAUUAAUGGCUAUGUUUUUUAUGGUCGAUGUCUUAAGCAUCUUGUAGUAAACAUGCCUAACACGUUUUAG